rfam:Aedes albopictus isolate Foshan contig156696, whole genome shotgun sequence.
UGCCCAGCAACUCCUAUACCUACCUCCACGCGGUACCGGGCGGAAACUAUGAGCAACCUUAGGGAAGAUCGGGUAACCAACCCCGGUGGGAACUUUGGUCGUAGGCUGACAGGGAAGG